rnacentral:lncRNA from 1 species
AUCAAAUUGGCUUUAAGCAUGACUAAGUGUUGCAACUGAUCGCUUGUAUUUUCAAGUAUCCCGUUGACAGACUAAUGCUGGCCUUUUGGUAGUGCAAAGAGCAGAGCCUACAUCUGGGUGAGUACAAGUAUUUUAGGUUACUCUCUUAUAAAAUAAACAUUUGACUGACAGCUCAGAUUUGAUCGUAUGUAUGCCCUAAACUCUACUCGAAGGCUGACAUAAAUUUUUUAACUGCUGUUUGACUAGGACCACACAUUCCUAUAGUUUCUUUUUCUUUCUUGUCUUUCUCUGUAAAAUCAGGAAUACCAGCGACUACAUCCACAGACUGCAAGCAGGGCUCCUGCUCGGUGAUUAAUGAGAGUCUGAAGGAGAAACUGGAUUCUCCGAGGGGUGCUAUUUUGUAUUAACAAGGCAAAAUGCCAAGCCCCACUUUUGGAGCCAGGGCAAGGAGAGAUGGUUUGGAGAGCUGCGGAAUAGAAGACAAAUGAGGUUUCUUACUCUUGAAACUACUAAAAAAUUAUAUAGAGUUUCUUUAUUACUGUGCUCUAUAGUAUUGUGAUCUAAACAGGCUAUGGCCAACUGACCUAAGAGACCUCCCUUGGUUAUUUUAAAGGAAAAUGUACAAUAAAUUCCAAUCUGAU